rnacentral:rRNA from 1 species
AUGAACGCUAGCGGCAGGCCUCACACAUGCAAGUCGAGGGAGAAGCCCUUUCGGGGGCAGAAACCGGCGCACGGGUGCGUAACGCGUAUGCAACCUACCUUUCACAGGGGGAUAGCCCGAAGAAAUUUGGAUUAAUACCCCAUAAUAUUAUUGGAUGGCAUCAUUUGAUAAUUAAAACUGCGGUGGUGAAAGAUGGGCAUGCGUCCUAUUAGCUAGUUGGAGUGGUAACGGCACCCCAAGGCUACGAUAGGUAGGGGUCCUGAGAGGGAGAUCCCCCACACUGGUACUGAGACAGGGACCAGACUCCUACGGGAGGCAGCAGUGAGGAAUAUUGGUCAAUGGUCGGAAGACUGAACCAGCCAUGCCGCGUGCAGGAAGAAUGCCUUAUGGGUUGUAAACUGCUUUUAUAUGGGAAGAAUAAGGCGUACGUGUACGUUGAUGACGGUACCAUAUGAAUAAGCAUCGGCUAACUCCGUG